GCCAAAUCGCUUUCCAAAUGGGAAAUGUGUGACGAUUUCUGACACCUUCUCCAGACAUGGGAAAGGCUUUACGAAGGGAUCUCACACCUCUGCUGAGCCCUGGCAGGAGGGAGCUGGCCUUGACCUGCCCAGCGCAACAAAGCUUGAGUGCAAACAGCGAUUGUCCGUUUUGCAGGCCACAGCUGCUGGGAGAAACGUGAUGCUGAGCUUGCUGGGUUCCUGCGCACGGUUCAGAAUUUGCAAGUAAAAUGGAUUUUGUGUCAUUCACACUCAUCUGGAAUUUGAAUCAGCUCAGUGCUGCCCAGCUCCCCACUGGUGCUGGCUGCGGCUGGAGCUCGCCGUUCUCGGUGUGGUGAGCUUGCACCGCAGGCUUGGGGGAGCACGGCAGCUGCAUAUUGGUCCGGUUACCGUUACGGUUAUGGUUACUGUUUGCAAAGCGUUUCCCCCGCCUGGCUUGUGUAUAGGCCUCCCACAACCCUGUGAGAUGGAUGAGCCAGAAACUCUGCCCAUUUUCCAGGAGAGGCAGGGCUAGCCUCACAGGCCUGAGGCCUGUGCAGUCGCAAACGGCCCUGUGAUCAGGACCUGAGCUUCUUGGUUGAAUGCUCUUCUGCCAUCAUCUUGAAAUUUCAAUGAUUUUAUCUUUGAACCAGUGUUUUGUAGGUGAAGGCUGGUGGGACCGUGGAGCGGGCACAUGAGCCGAAGAUUCAUGCAAUAGACACGCCUGCUGUUCCUUGCUGCCUCAUUAGCAUGUGUUCUUCUUGAUGCCCCAUGAGCAGAGAGUUCCAGGGAACCCAUGACACAUGGAGUGUGACUCGAAAAUGGCAUCAAAUAGCAAAUAAAAAACAUCAUAACAAGAUGAGAGAGACUGGAAGAAAGAAGAAAGCUCAGCGUUUUAGUUACUUUGAUGACACCUUUUUCCUGCUUUUUGAAGAAGAGUUCCCACAUUUUCAUUUUGAACAAAGAGCCCCACAAUUACGAGAACAAUCUGACAGAGGGCAUGGCGACUGCGGAUAGGAGGCCACCCAGAUCCCAGAGUUAUUCAGAGGUGGAGAAGCCGAUAAACCACACGAAGCCACUCCAUGUAUCCAUAGCCUCUAAGGUACGGAAUUUUUUGAUCCUGUCACCAGCUUGUAAGAAGGGGGUGGGUGCAGUCAAAAAGGAUUAACUUUUCAAUCUAUUACAGGGAGCCCAGCAAUCUAUUACUUGGAGGCCACAGAAGAGAAGUUGGAAUGAAAAUUAGGACUGAGGGACUUUUCCCCAAGCAAACUGAGUUGAAAGCAUUGCCGCAGGUGAGGAGAAAAGCCCGGUCUCAAUGGAGGCUGCCCUCCAGGGGAGGGACAGGAAGAAAUGCAUCAAUCCGAGA
rnacentral:lncRNA from 13 species